UAGCAUAUCAAUAAGCGGAGGAAAAGAAACCAACAGGGAUUGCCCCAGUAACGGCGAGUGAAGCGGCAACAGCUCAAAUUUGAAAUCUGGCUCUCAGGGCCCGAGUUGUAAUUUGUAGAGGAUGCUUUUGGCGAGGUGCCUUCCGAGUUCCCUGGAACGGGACGCCACAGAGGGUGAGAGCCCCGUAUGGUCGGACACCGAGCCUCUGUAAAGCUCCUUCGACGAGUCGAGUAGUUUGGGAAUGCUGCUCAAAAUGGGAGGUAUAUGUCUUCUAAAGCUAAAUAUUGGCCAGAGACCGAUAGCGCACAAGUAGAGUGAUCGAAAGAUGAAAAGCACUUUGAAAAGAGGGUUAAAAAGUACGUGAAAUUGUUGAAAGGGAAGCGCCUAUGACCAGACUUGCGCCCGGUGAAUCACCCAGCGUUCUCGCUGGUGCACUUUGCCGGGCACAGGCCAGCAUCAGUUCAGCGCGGGGGAGAAAGGCUUCGGGAAUGUGGCUCCCUCGGGAGUGUUAUAGCCCGCUGCGUAAUGCCCUGCGCCGGACUGAGGUACGCGCAUUGCAAGGAUGCUGGCGUAAUGGUCAUCAGCGACCCGUCUUGAAACACGGACCAAGGAGUCGUCUUCGUAUGCGAGUGUUCGGGUGUCAAACCCCUACGCGUAAUGAAAGUGAACGUAGGUGAGAGCUUCGGCGCAUCACCGACCGAUCCUGAUGUUCUCGGAUGGAUUUGAGUAAGAGCAUACGGGGCCGGACCCGAAAGAAGGUGAACUAUGCCUGUAUAGGGUGAAGCCAGAGGAAACUCUGGUGGAGGCUCGCAGCGGUUCUGACGUGCGAAUCGAUCGUCAAAUAUGGGCAUGGGGGCGAAAGACUAAUCGAACCUUCUAGUAGCUGGUUUCCGCC
rnacentral:rRNA from 1 species